UACGUAGGGUCCAAGCGUUGUUCGGAAUUACUGGGCGUAAAGCGCACGUAGGCGGCUUUGCAAGUCGGAUGUGAAAUCCCUCGGCUUAACCAAGGAAGUGCAUCCGAAACUGCAGAGCUUGAGUACUUAAGAGGAUCGCGGAAUUCCCGGUGUAGAGGUGAAAUUCGUAGAUAUCGGGAGGAACACCAGUGGCGAAGGCGGCGAUCUGGGUAGAUACUGACGCUGAGGUGCGAAAGCGUGGGGAGCAAACAGG
rnacentral:rRNA from 1 species